AACGAACGCUGGCGGCGUGCUUAACACAUGCAAGUCGAACGGCAACGCCCUGCUAUUGUGGUGUGCUCGAGUGGCGAACGCGUGAGUAACACGUGAGUAACCUGCUCUUGACUUUGGGAUAACUUCAGGAAACUGGGGCUACUACCGGAUAGGAGCUCCUGUUGCAUGGUGGGGAUUGGAACGUCUCGGCGGUCGGGGAUGGAUGCGCGGCUUAUCAGCUUGUUGGUGGGGUAGUGGCUUACCAAGGCUUUGACGGGUAGCCGGCCUGGGAGGGUGACCGGCCACAUUGGGACUGAGAUACGGCCCAGACGCCUACGGGAGGCAGCAGUGGGGAAUAUUGCACAAUGGGCGGAAGCCUGAGGCAGCAACGCCGCGUGCGGGAUGACGGCCUGCGGGUUGUAAACCGCUUUCGCCUGUGACGAAGCGUGAGUGACGGUAAUGGGUAAAGAAGCACCGGCUAACUACGUG
rnacentral:rRNA from 1 species